UUUCAAAAUCGUGGAGGACUUUCAACGUGAACGAUUUCAAAAAUCGUGAAGGAUUUUCAAAAUCGUGAAGGAUUUCCAAAAUCGUGAAGGAUUUUUAAAAUCGUGAACGAUUUCGAAAUCGUGAAGGAUUUUUAAAAUCGUGAACGAUUUCGAAAUCGUGAAGGAUUUUUGGAAUCGUUCACGAUGGCCCAGGACGGUGAACUGAUCAAAAACAUGUUUGCUGAACAAAGAAAAAUACGGAAAAGGCACAAAAAAAAAACUUUAAAACAGGGAUGAACUAACUUACCGGUGAUGAAAUAAUCGCAGGAAACAUCUGUUUUGAUGUCUGGUUGUUAGGUUGGAUCCCCCCGACUAACCACCCAUUCCUUACAUUUUUCUCAAGGAUUCUAAAAUCCUUUGUCAUCAUGUGGGCAUACACUUGGGUAAUACGGGUAGUGCAGCUGUAACCACAGUGCAAAAAACGCCACAUUUUUUUGUUUUUGAUAAGUUUGUUAUCAAACUUUGGCACGUUUGCAUUAGCGCCGAGAAAUGUUUUUGAACUUUUAACGUGGCCAUCGGGUGGUUAUGCUAAUGAGCGUGACAUCAGGUGCAAACCAAGAAUAAGCGCACCAAAACAUUACCAAAUAAGGCAAAUAUCUAUUUAAUAUCCGGGACUUUCUCGUUCAUCUUUAUUUUCGUUUUACGACCUUCACCUCUUAUUAAUUCACAUCACGUGCUUUCUCAUCCAAUAAGACUGCUCAUUGUUUUAAAAGAGUGCAACCGGGCAUUUGAUCGGAGUUCGCAUCGUGCUGCGACAGUCGAGGCUUUCGUCUUUCUCAAUCUUACAGUUCCUUCAGCAAUCAUGUCGAUGUCAGGGGUAAAGGUGGCACAGGAGUGUAUAGAGCUCUUCAAUUAUAUGAAGCUUAAAUCAACUAAAGUUGAUGGACCCAAUUACAAAUAUGCCAUAUUCAAGCCUUCAGAUGAUAAAACUGAAGUGGUGGUGGAGGAAAAAGUUGAAUCAAAAUGCGAAACAAACACUCGCGAAGAAGAUGCGGAAGUAUUUGAAGAGUUAAAGGGAAGACUUUCCAAGAAAGAGCCCAGAUAUAUUGUGUAUGACAUGAGAUUUCAUGGCAGCAGAUCUCUCAUACAUUCUUUGAUCAUCAUUUCGUGGGGUCCUGAUGAAGCAAAGGUCGAAAAGAAAAUGUUGCUUUCCUCUACGGUGGGAACCUUAAAAAAGAAGUUAGUCGGUUUUAAAAAAUUCUUCCAAUGUUCAGACAUGGACGAAAUGAACUACAACACAUUUGCAGAUGCAGUAGAGGGGAUUUAGAUACGAAUCACACUUUUUUUUUGUCAAAUAUUGGCAUUCUGAUUACAUUCCAACUCACACAUGCAGUAUCACCCGGAUUUGUAACAACAAUGAACCAGAUAUGUAACAACAACCGGAUUUGUAACAAAAAUCAACCGGAUAUGUAACAAACUAGUCAACCGGAUUUGUAACAAAAAUCACCCGGAUUUGUAACAAGUUUAACAACCGGAUUUGUAACAACCUACGGAUUCCGUCAAAUUGUUUGAAUACAAACUCCAUUUUCAACACAGGUCAAACAUCGUUGGUUCUAAAGUAUGUCGGGGGGACUCGAACGAUAUGUCAUCAAAAUACCGUUCGAUGCAUAUCUUUUAACAGAUACAUUGUUAGAAGAUCAAACUUGGUUGUCCUGUCCAUGUGGGCGAGGGGGGUGCACUGGCGAUCUCACGUGACGGACAGCAUAGAUGACGUCAUCAAAACAAAAAUAAAUAAAUAUUAUAUCACUGAGACAGCCCUUAGGAUACCAAACUUGGUUGACGUGUCCAUGGUGGCAAGGGAUGUGUACUGGCGAUCUCACGUGACGUGAAGUCAUCGAUGACGUUAUCAAAACAAAAAAAACCUAUAUCAUCUCACUAAAACAGUCCUAGGGACCAAACUUGGUUGACGUGUCCAUGGUGGCAGUCCGUUUUUGCGCUCGCCCCAGGAACCACGCGGUUUAUAAUACAAGAUGGCACGAGAUCACCGAACGGAGGGGUUUUUCGCAAUAACACCGAGUACCGCCUGCAAGCAGGCUACUAAAAGAUAUGCGCCGAACGGUAUUUUGAUGAUGUCAUCGCUAGAGCCCCUCUCCCCCCAGAGUAGGAAAAGUUGCUGUCCAAAAAGCACAAAAGUUGCUGAAAUAUUAAAAAGUUGCCACCAAAAUUUUCAAAAGUUGCUGAAAUAUUAAAAAAUUGCCACCAAAAUUUUCAAAAGUUGAAAAUUUUGACGAGUCGUUUUGACGUUUUGUUCUAGAUUAAUACUCAAAAUAGAUUUUUUUAAUUUCCAUUAAAUAUCUUCCUUAUAUAUUCUUAAAAUAAUCAAAGCAGAUAAAGAAAACUUUUUAAAAUGUUUAAAGUUCAGAUAGUUUGUUGUAAUCAAUGUAUAUUUUUUUAGAAACACAACAUAUAUAAAAAUAUCCUAAUCCACCCCGUUUUAUGAUACUUUAAACAGCAAUUAAGUUUACUUUUUUCAUUGUUGUACCUCGAGGUAUUCCUUAAGGCAUUGUAUUGUUGAUCAUUUCUGCAUUCUUCAGAAAGCUGAUUGUUGUAGCAAAUAAGUAACCGUUGGAAUUUAGCGCCCGUUAGAUAGAUAGCUGCUGUCCAGUUUGCGUUGGCGCGUACCGAUAUAAAUCCAGUUUCAAUUAUAUUUGUAUUUAUCAGUUAAAUAUCCUUAGUUUCGACCACUUAUAAUAAAAAUUCUUUCAAUAAAGAUCUUUUUGGUGUUUGGUUUCCAUUUGGUGCUUAAAAGUUGCCAAGGAAAGCAAAAGUUGCCCUAAGUUGCUGGCACUUAAAAAAGUUUCUCGAAACUCUAAAAGUUGCUAAAAAGUUUCCAACCAUGCCAACCCUCGAGUUACCUUACAACCAGCGACGUUGUUACAAAUCCGGUUGAUUUUUGUUACAAAUCUGGUAGACAGCUUGUUACAUAUCCGGUUUAUUUUUGUUGCAAAUCCGGUUGUUAUUACAUAUCUGGUUAAUUGUUGUUACAAAUCCGGUUGUUGUUAAAUAUCCCGUUGAUUGUUACAAAUCCGGGUGAUACACAUGUUACAUGACUGUUGUUUCCGAUCUCGAAAAAAAAAAAAAACAAUUUAAUCAAUAAAAAUAGUUAAAUCAUAGGAAAUAGUUUCUGCUUUCUCUGCAAUGAAGGAUUGAUUUUCAAAAAUCAUUUUGUACUGGAACUAAGAUGAUUUUUGAUAGUAAAAAUGUAAAACUUCUAUCAAGGCUUUAUUUUGAAAAGCAAGGAAACACGAAUCUGAAAUUUUCUCUCAUAACAAAGCUCUGUUGUACGGAAAUGUUUUGAAAAAUAAAAUGCAUGUAAAUGUG